rnacentral:rRNA from 1 species
AGUGGCGCAGCUAACGCACUAAGUUGACCGCCUGGGGAGUACGGCCGCAAGGUUAAAACUCAAAUGAAUUGACGGGGGCCCGCACAAGCGGUGGAGCAUGUGGUUUAAUUCGACGCAACGCGAAGAACCUUACCUGGCCUUGACAUGCAGAGAACUUUCCAGAGAUGGAUUGGUGCCUUCGGGAACUCUGACACAGGUGCUGCAUGGCCGUCGUCAGCUCGUGUCGUGAGAUGUUGGGUUAAGUCCCGUAACGAGCGCAACCCCUAUCCCUAGUUGCUAGCAGUUCGGCUGAGAACUCUAGGGAGACUGCCGGUGACAAGCCGGAGGAAGGUGGGGAUGACGUCAGGUCAUCAUGGCCCUUACGGCCAGGGCUACACACGUGCUACAAUGGUGCGUACAGAGGGCUGCAAACCCGCGAGGGGGAGCUAAUCUCACAAAACGCAUCGUAGUCCGGAUCGGAGUCUGCAACUCGACUCCGUGAAGUCGGAAUCGCUAGUAAUCGCGAAUCAGAAUGUCGCGGUGAAUACGUUCCCGGGCCUUGUACACACCGCCCGUCACACCAUGGGAGUGGAUUGCACCAGAAGUGGUUAGUCUAACCUUCGGGAGGACGAU